rnacentral:rRNA from 1 species
UACGUAGGGUGCGAGCGUUAAUCGGAAUUACUGGGCGUAAAGCGUGCGCAGGCGGUUUUGUAAGCCAGAUGUGAAAUCCCCGGGCUUAACCUGGGAAUGGCAUUUGGGAUUGCAAGGCUCGAGUGCGGCAGAGGAGACUGGAAUUCCUGGUGUAGCAGUGAAAUGCGUAGAUAUCCGAAGGAACACCGGUGGCGAAAGCGGCGCGCUGGACCUCUUCUGACGCUGAGGCGCGAAAGCCAGGGGAGCAAACGGG